rnacentral:rRNA from 1 species
CCUACGGGUGGCAGCAGUGGGGAAUAUUGCACAAUGGGCGCAAGCCUGAUGCAGCCAUGCCGCGUGUGUGAAGAAGGCCUUCGGGUUGUAAAGCACUUUCAGCGGGGAGGAAGGCGUUAAGGUUAAUAACCUUGUCGAUUGACGUUACCCGCAGAAGAAGCACCGGCUAACUCCGUGCCAGCAGCCGCGGUAAUACGGAGGGUGCAAGCGUUAAUCGGAAUUACUGGGCGUAAAGCGCACGCAGGCGCUCUGUCAAGUCGGAUAUGAAAUCCCCGGGCUCAACCUGGGAACUGCAUUCGAAACUGGCAGGCUAGAGUCUUGUAGAGGGGGGUAGAAUUCCAGGUGUAGCGGUGAAAUGCGUAGAGAUCUGGAGGAAUACCGGUGGCGAAGGCGGCCCCCUGGACAAAGACUGACGCUCAGGUGCGAAAGCGUGGGGAGCAAACAGGAUUAGAUACCCUUGUAGUC